GUGGCGGACUGGUGAGUAACGCGUGAGGAACUUGCCUUUCAGAGGGGGACAACAGUUGGAAACGACUGCUAAUACCGCAUGACGCAUUUUGAUCGCAUGGUCGAAAUGCCAAAGAUUUAUCGCUGAAAGAUGGCCUCGCGUCUGAUUAGCUAGUUGGCGGGGUAACGGCCCACCAAGGCGACGAUCAGUAGCCGGACUGAGAGGUUGACCGGCCACAUUGGGACUGAGAUACGGCCCAGACUCCUACGGGAGGCAGCAGUGGGGAAUAUUGGGCAAUGGGCGCAAGCCUGACCCAGCAACGCCGCGUGAAGGAAGAAGGCUUUCGGGUUGUAAACUUCUUUUAAGUGGGAAGAGUAGAAGACGGUACCACUUGAAUAAGCCACGGCUAACUACGUGCCAGCAGCCGCGGUAAUACGUAGGUGGCAAGCGUUGUCCGGAUUUACUGGGUGUAAAGGGCGUGCAGCCGGGCAUGCAAGUCAGAUGUGAA
rnacentral:rRNA from 1 species